rnacentral:rRNA from 1 species
AGAUUAAGUUAUUAAGGGCGCACGGUGGAUGCCUUGGCACUAGAAGCCGAUGAAGGACGUUACUAACGACGAUAUGCUUUGGGUAGCUGUAAGUAAGCGUUGAUCCAGAGAUUUCCGAAUGGGGGAACCCAGCAUGAGUUAUGUCAUGUUAUCGACAUGUGAAUUCAUAGCAUGUCAGAAGGCAGACCCGGAGAACUGAAACAUCUUAGUACCCGGAGGAAGAGAAAGAAAAAUCGAUUCCCUGAGUAGCGGCGAGCGAAACGGGAAGAGCCCAAACCAACAAGCUUGCUUGUUGGGGUUGUAGGACACUCUAUACGGAGUUACAAAAGAACAUGUUAGACGAAUCAUCUGGAAAGAUGAAUCAAAGAAGGUAAUAAUCCUGUAGUCGAAAACAUAUUCUCUCUUGAGUGGAUCCUGAGUACGACGGAGCACGUGAAAUUCCGUCGGAAUCUGGGAGGACCAUCUCCUAAGGCUAAAUACUCUCUAGUGACCGAUAGUGAACCAGUACCGUGAGGGAAAGGUGAAAAGUACCCCGGAAGGGGAGUGAAAGAGAACUUGAAACCGUGUGCUUACAAGUAGUCAGAGCCCGUUAAUGGGUGAUGGCGUGCCUUUUGUAGAAUGAACCGGCGAGUUACGAUCUGAUGCAAGGUUAAGCAGCAAAUGUGGAGCCGCAGCGAAAGCGAGUCUGAAUAGGGCGUUGAGUAUUUGGUCGUAGACCCGAAACCAGGUGAUCUACCCUUGGUCAGGUUGAAGUUCAGGUAACACUGAAUGGAGGACCGAACCGACUUACGUUGAAAAGUGAGCGGAUGAACUGAGGGUAGCGGAGAAAUUCCAAUCGAACUUGGAGAUAGCUGGUUCUCUCCGAAAUAGCUUUAGGGCUAGCCUCAAGUGAUGAUUAUUGGAGGUAGAGCACUGUUUGGACGAGGGGCCCCUCUCGGGUUACCGAAUUCAGACAAACUCCGAAUGCCAAUUAAUUUAACUUGGGAGUCAGAACAUGGGUGAUAAGGUCCGUGUUCGAAAGGGAAACAGCCCAGACCACCAGCUAAGGUCCCAAAAUAUAUGUUAAGUGGAAAAGGAUGUGGCGUUGCCCAGACAACUAGGAUGUUGGCUUAGAAGCAGCCAUCAUUUAAAGAGUGCGUAAUAGCUCACUAGUCGAGUGACACUGCGCCGAAAAUGUACCGGGGCUAAACAUAUUACCGAAGCUGUGGAUUGUCCUUUGGACAAUGGUAGGAGAGCGUUCUAAGGGCGUCGAAGCAUGAUCGCAAGGACAUGUGGAGCGCUUAGAAGUGAGAAUGCCGGUGUGAGUAGCGAAAGACGGGUGAGAAUCCCGUCCACCGAUUGACUAAGGUUUCCAGAGGAAGGCUCGUCCGCUCUGGGUUAGUCGGGUCCUAAGCUGAGGCCGACAGGCGUAGGCGAUGGAUAACAGGUUGAUAUUCCUGUACCACCUAGUAUCGUUUUAAUCGAUGGGGGGACGCAGUAGGAUAGGUGAAGCGUGCUGUUGGAGUGCACGUCCAAGCAGUAAGGCUGAGUGUUAGGCAAAUCCGGCACUCAUAAAGCUGAGUUGUGAUGGGGAGAGGAAAUUGUUUCCUCGAGUCGUUGAUUUCACACUGCCGAGAAAAGCCUCUAGAUAGAUAACAGGUGCCCGUACCGCAAACCGACACAGGUAGUCAAGAUGAGAAUUCUAAGGUGAGCGAGCGAACUCUCGUUAAGGAACUCGGCAAAAUGACCCCGUAACUUCGGGAGAAGGGGUGCUCUUUAGGGUUCACGCCCAGAAGAGCCGCAGUGAAUAGGCCCAAGCGACUGUUUAUCAAAAACACAGGUCUCUGCUAAACCGUAAGGUGAUGUAUAGGGGCUGACGCCUGCCCGGUGCUGGAAGGUUAAGAGGAGUGGUUAGCUUCUGCGAAGCUACGAAUCGAAGCCCCAGUAAACGGCGGCCGUAACUAUAACGGUCCUAAGGUAGCGAAAUUCCUUGUCGGGUAAGUUCCGACCCGCACGAAAGGCGUAACGAUUUGGGCACUGUCUCAACGAGAGACUCGGUGAAAUCAUAGUACCUGUGAAGAUGCAGGUUACCCGCGACAGGACGGAAAGACCCCGUGGAGCUUUACUGUAGCCUGAUAUUGAAAUUCGGCACAGCUUGUACAGGAUAGGUAGGAGCCUUUGAAACGUGAGCGCUAGCUUACGUGGAGGCGUUGGUGGGAUACUACCCUAGCUGUGUUGGCUUUCUAACCCGCACCACUUAUCGUGGUGGGAGACAGUGUCAGGCGGGCAGUUUGACUGGGGCGGUCGCCUCCUAAAAGGUAACGGAGGCGCUCAAAGGUUCCCUCAGAAUGGUUGGAAAUCAUUCAUAGAGUGUAAAGGCAUAAGGGAGCUUGACUGCGAGACCUACAAGUCGAGCAGGGUCGAAAGACGGACUUAGUGAUCCGGUGGUUCCGCAUGGAAGGGCCAUCGCUCAACGGAUAAAAGCUACCCCGGGGAUAACAGGCUUAUCUCCCCCAAGAGUUCACAUCGACGGGGAGGUUUGGCACCUCGAUGUCGGCUCAUCGCAUCCUGGGGCUGUAGUCGGUCCCAAGGGUUGGGCUGUUCGCCCAUUAAAGCGGUACGCGAGCUGGGUUCAGAACGUCGUGAGACAGUUCGGUCCCUAUCCGUCGUGGGCGUAGGAAAUUUGAGAGGAGCUGUCCUUAGUACGAGAGGACCGGGAUGGACAUACCUCUGGUGUACCAGUUGUCGUGCCAACGGCAUAGCUGGGUAGCUAUGUAUGGACGGGAUAAGUGCUGAAAGCAUCUAAGCAUGAAGCCCCCCUCAAGAUGAGAUUUCCCAACUUCGGUUAUAAGAUCCCUCGAAGAUGACGAGGUUAAUAGGUUCGAGGUGGAAGCGUGGUGACACGUGGAGCUGACGAAUACUAAUCGAUCGAAGACUUAAUCAAUUUUUUAAA